UACGGAGGGGGCGAGCGUUAUUCGGAAUUAUUGGGCGUAAAGGGCGCGUAGGCGGCUUGAUGUGUCAAAGGUGAAAUCCCUCGGCUCAACUGAGGAACUGCCUUUGAAACUGUCUGGCUUGAGGCCGGGAGAGGGUAGCGGAAUUCCCAGUGUAGCGGUGAAAUGCGUAGAUACUGGGAGGAACACCGGUGGCGAAGGCGGCUACCUGGACCGGUUCUGGCGCUGAUGCGCGAAAGCGUGGGUAGCAAACAGG
rnacentral:rRNA from 1 species